rnacentral:rRNA from 1 species
GACGAACGCUGGCGGCGUGCUUAACACAUGCAAGUCGAACGAAGAGCGAUGGAAGCUUGCUUCUAUCAAUCUUAGUGGCGAACGGGUGAGUAACGCGUAAUCAACCUGCCCUUCAGAGGGGGACAACAGUUGGAAACGACUGCUAAUACCGCAUACGAUCUAAACUCGGCAUCGAGGAUAGAUGAAAGGUGGCCUCUACAUGUAAGCUAUCACUGAAGGAGGGGAUUGCGUCUGAUUAGCUAGAUGGAGGGGUAACGGCCCACCAAGGCGAUGAUCAGUAGCCGGUCUGAGAGGAUGAACGGCCGCAUUGGGACUGAGACCCGGCCCAGACUGCUACGGGAGGCAGCAGUGGGGAAUCUUCCGCAAUGGACGAAAGUCUGACGGAGCAACGCCGCGUGAGUGAUGACGGCCUUCGGGUUGUAAAGCUCUGUUAAUCGGGACGAAAGGCCUUCUUGCGAAUAGUGAGAAGGAUUGACGGUACCGGAAUAGAAAGCCACGGCUAACUACGUG